rnacentral:rRNA from 1 species
CAUUCGAGUGGCGGACGGGUGAGUAACGCGUGGGUAACCUGCCUUACACAGGGGGAUAACACCUGGAAACAGGUGCUAAUACCGCAUAAGCGCACAGGGGCCGCAUGGCCCGGUGUGAAAAACUCCGGUGGUGUAAGAUGGACCCGCGUCUGAUUAGCUUGUUGGCGGGGUAGGGGCCCACCAAGGCGACGAUCAGUAGCCGGCCUGAGAGGGUGGACGGCCACAUUGGGACUGAGACACGGCCCAAACUCCUACGGAAGGCAGCAG